CGGUAUUAUUCUUUGCCAUCUAGGAGGAAUUCUGCUAAUCAAAAUUUUCUCAUUUUCACUUUCAUUUGUAUUAGCAGACAUAAUGUACGUGGUAUUGAGAGUCAAAAACUGCAGCUUCCAACCUAGUAAUUUUGGUUCAAAGUUUUUUUUCCAGGCGGUGACAGUGCUGCUUUAGCUGUAGGAGCUCAAACAAGCAGCCAGUCAUUAGCGGCACACUGUAUAGGGCUGCUUAGGAGGUGAAAAGGACCAGGCACACUAUGUACAG